GUCACCGGACGCGCCCGCUUCUCGCUGGAGUGCGCACCGAGCGGCAGUGACUUCGCCGCUGCUGUAGUUCCCCGGCUGGAUGCGGUGACUGGUGCCAGUGCUCAGGCGCCCGCUGCCCUUGACCUCCCGCCCCGCGAGCCCUAACUCAGCGCAGGAGGACCGGCUGCCGCCGCCGCCGCCGCCAGGAGGUAGAUUGGGAAGUGGAGCUGGCCGUGGUCAUUGGAAAGAAAGGCAAGCACAUCAAGGUGAAGUGGAAAAGGUGGGCUCCCAGGCCAGAGUGCAGCAGAGUCCCCAGCUCCUGCCUCUCCUAGUUCUGACCUCGCUCACCAACACAUGGUGCCAGCUGUCCCUGACACUAGGAAGCAGUCAGCCUCCUUGCUCCCUGACACUGCCUUUCCCUUCACCCACCUUUGGCUGGCUCUGGCUACUAACAUGGGAUAACAGCUUUGAGAUCCCUUGCCACAGGUGUUGGUGUCACCCAUGAUCUAUCCUCCUGUAUGGCCAAAUCCCCUGCCCCCAUAGGCCACAGAUGCCAUGGCCCACGUGGCCGGCUUCACUGUGGCUCAUGACGUGAGUGCUCGUGACUGGCUAACAAGAUGCAAUGGGAAACAGUGGCUGCUGGGAAAAACCUUCGACACCUUCUGCCCUCUGGGCCCUGCCUUGGUGACCAAGGACAGUGUAGCAGAUCCACACAACUUAAAGAUCUGCUGUCGAGUGAAUGGGGAAGUGGUCCAGAGCAGCAACACCAACCAGAUGGUAUUCAAGACAGAGGACCUGAUAGCCUGGGUGUCCCAGUGAGUGACAGGGGCUAUCCUGCCAGCCCCGCUCCACCUGCCACACAUGUGGAGGCUGACCUGAGCCCUCCACCUUUGGCUGUGGCCACCUCAGCCAGCCCCUGGUCUCACCGGGUCCUUUUGCUUUGCUCCAGGUUUGUUACCUUUUACCCAGGGGAUGUCAUCCUGACUGGGACCCCCCCACCUCCACCCAGGUGUCGGUGUAUUCAGGAAACCUCCUGUCUUUCUCAAGGUCUCUGAAGGUCCAGACAGCACUGAUGGCGAGCUUUGGGUCCGCACACUCUGGAAAGAAGAGAGAAGUGAAGGCUCUAGGUAGGGAGAACAGAGAGCCACUGGGCACAGGCUUCUCUCCUCUUGUUUAAAGAAGCCCAGGGAGGGAUAGAGCUCUGACUGGACAGAAGACUGUACUCUGCAGCCUGCCUUCCUAGAGUUGGGUUGUCACUGUCCUGCAGGGGGCAGCAGCCACCAGCAAACACCACUGCCUGCAGGAGCCUGGGCUGACUGGUUGGGACUCACCGAAGAUCCCUUCUUCCUGGGCGGUGGCCUGCAGGAACUGGAACAGCUGCUCUGUGUAGCCCAACUCUGCAGAAGAGAGAAGACCUAGACCUGGCACCCAGCACAGACACAGCCUGCCUCGAGGACUGCAAGGGAACAAGGGCCUCACCAGUAUCGGGCAGCUGGCCCUGGCGGAGGAAGGCGGCAGCCUGUGCAAAGGCCUUGAGCAGCGGGCUGAGCAGGCGGCAGAGGAAAAGAAAGAAAUCUGGGCAGUGUGACUGCUGGCUGAGCUGGAGGGGACAGGCCGGGGUGAGUGCAGCUCCCCACCGCCUCCCUACCACCUCCCUCCAGGGGCAGCUUUUUGAAACACACCCUGAAGUACCGGCCGUCAGCCUCUCCGAAGUCAUCACUGUCACUAUCAGUAAAGUCCCCACUCGGUUUCCAC
ensembl:lncRNA novel transcript